AUAAUGUGGGAAUCUGCCUUUUGGUUUGGAAUAACACGGGGAAACUUGUGCUAAUACCGAAUAAGCCCUUACGGGGAAAGUUUUAACGCCGAAAGAUGAGCCCGCACUUGAUUAGCUAGUUGGUAAGGUAAAAGCUUACCAAGGCAAUGAUCAAUAGCUGUUCUUAGAGGAAGACCAGCCACAUUGGGACUGAGACACGGCCCAGACUCCUACGGGAGGCAGCAGUGAGGAAUCUUGCACAAUGGGGGAAACCCUGAUGCAGCGAUGCCGCGUGAGUGAAGAAGGCCUUUGGGUUGUAAAACUCUUUCGUCGGGGAAGAAAAUGACUGUACCCGAAUAAGAAGGUCCGGCUAACUUCGUGCCAGCAGCCGCGGUAAUACGAAGGGACCUAGCGUAGUUCGGAAUUACUGGGCUUAAAGAGCUCGUAGGUGGUUAAAAAAGUUGAUGGUGAAAUCCCAAGGCUUAACCUUGGAACUGCCAUCAAAACUUUUUAGCUAGAGUGUGAUAGAGGUAAGUGGAAUUUCUAGUGUAGAGGUGAAAUUCGUAGAUAUUAGAAAGAACACCAAAUGCGAAGGCAACUUACUGGGUCACUACUGACACUGAGGAGCGAAAAGCAUGGGUAGCGAAGAGGAUUAGAUACCCUCGUAGUCCAUGCUGUAAACGAUGUGUGCUAGACGUUGGAAAUAUAUUUUUCAGUGUCG
rnacentral:rRNA from 1 species